UCGGAAUAAAAUUCAAAAUAUAUAAUUUUUUUAAUAUUUUGGAACUUUUCUUUGGAUCUCAACGAAAUUUCAAGUCCUUGGGCGAUGAUAGCUGCGCUGAUUCAUUUAUCUGCCUUUUUUUAUAAAUACGUGAAAAAUGGAUUGCCUGGACACAAUUAUGCUAAAAAAUUUGUUUAAUCCACGGAACGGAUAAACAAGGAACUAUCACACACACCCACACACUCACGCACACUCCUCACAAGUAUUUAUUUGAUACUUUUCCAUCCGUCUCAUUCUUGAAAUGUACGGAAGCUAUAACUUACCUACUGAGGUGAACGGUACCGAGCUACAAAGCUACAGAUGGAUUGCGUGUCGCCAACGAAUUUUAAAAUAGAAUUUUGAGAGCUAUAUACCUCGUUGUACGUACCUCUUGUAUAAAUUUGAAAAUGCUCAACGAAAAUAAAUUUGCGUCGAGUACAAAA